rnacentral:rRNA from 1 species
UACGUAGGGUGCGAGCGUUGUCCGGAUUUAUUGGGCGUAAAGAGCUCGUAGGCGGUUUGUCGCGUCGGCCGUGAAAUCUCCACGCUUAACGUGGAGCGUGCGGUCGAUACGGGCAGACUUGAGUUCGGUAGGGGAGACUGGAAUUCCUGGUGUAGCGGUGAAAUGCGCAGAUAUCAGGAGGAACACCGGUGGCGAAGGCGGGUCUCUGGGCCGAUACUGACGCUGAGAAGCGAAAGCAUGGGGAGCGAACAGG